rnacentral:lncRNA from 1 species
UUCUAUUCUCACUUGGUGGGUUCUUGAGUUGUAAUCUAUGGUCAGAGCUAAAGUUUUCCUUGGCAUCAUGAAUAGUUUUUAUCCUCACUCUGUUCCUAAUCCUCAUAUCCACUGAUUCUCACAUAUAUAAAAAAGAUAGAGGUUGGUGCUUUUGCUAAACUAAUGAUGGGGACACUUACCAACCCUGCUGCGGUCCAGAAAUGGUGUUCCUAUGCUUCUCCAAAAAUUUGCUGAUGAUUCUAGUUUCGUCUGUAUCUCUCUCUUUCUCAUAAGCUUCUCUCUCUCUCUCUCUCUCUCUCUCUCUCUCUGUCUCUCUCUGUCUCACACACACACACAAACACACACACACACACACACACACACACACCGGAUCCCCUCAUGACAUCCCAGUUUCAAGAACAUGGACCAUGAAGCUGCAGAUGGUCUGUUGACAGGGUCAGAACUGGGAAGAUCCCCUCUGUCUCCCACCUCGGCCCUCAGCUGGGUCUGUUCCUUUUCCUUGAAGGGUUAAGGUCCUGCAGUAACUAAGGGGGGCCCAGAGUGGCCAGCACUGGCCAGCACUGGCCCUGACUCAGAGCAGUGUGUGGGCCCCUGCUACAUCCUGUUGUGAGGAGUCUGCUCUAAUCCCCAGGCAGGGAAGGAAGUCAGGAAAGGGAAACAGCAUGGGGUUUAGAGAAAAGACUGGCCCUUGCUCCUUCCUGUGUGACGGUUUUCCUGGGCCGCUGUCAGUUCCCUAGGAGCAGUGUGUGCUGUUGAGGAGCCAUCUUGGUCAGUGCCAGAGAUCAAAGGAAAGGUAAUUUAGGCAGCACUAAAAAUAGGUCCUGGAGUUAUUUUAGAGCUGUUUUGCUAGCAUUGGAGGAGCAAAUCUUGGAUUUUGCUCAACUUCCUGUCAAUCUCAUGAGCUUCUUCCUCCCUCCUGCUUACUCCCUAGUCUAGUGGUGUUCAAAGGCUUCUGACUGUGACUGCAGUUGUUUUACAUUCAGACUUUGUACACGUAGAGGUGCACACACACAAGACUGAAAAGAACCUUGAAACCUUUGGUUAGGGCUCACUUAGUGAAACCAAUGACCCAACACUAGCAUUUCACACCCACAGUUUGAAAGCAUUAGCCUUCCUUUUUCCUUGGCCUUGAUGAAUGCUCGAACUACCCAGUUAUAUGCCCUGGUAAAAGCCACCUAGAUAUUAUAGAGCACCCCACUUUCUUUUUAAUUCAUAGAAAGAACAUUGGUUAAUAAUCUCUGAUUUCCUGAAGUUGUGUGAUUUGGUCUCUUCUUCCUUUAAAAAGAAGCACCUGUAGUAUUUCCCAGGCCAGUCUGGCUUGAGACUCAAAAUGUCAAAUUUAACACCCUAAACCCUCUGCGGGUAUAGCUAUGGCAUUGUGGGAAAAGAUGAGCUUUGGAGGUGGACAAGUAAAACCCCGCCCUCCCACGCAGGAGGUGUGUGACUUCCUCAGCUUCCCAGUCCUCCGUUUCCCUAUCUGCAUGUGAGGAUGAUUCUUUCAUAUGGUUGUAUGGGAGUUAGGUAUGACAAUGGCCAUGAAGUCCUUACCCAAAUGUUUGGCACACAGCAAGUGCUCAAAUUGUAGUGAUUCAAAUUGUUGCUGUAAUAAUUCAAACCAAGAGAAAAGUCAUUCAAAGAUUUAUCUGACUUGAAGUUCCUUGGUGAUCAAAAUAACUGUGUAGUUGCCAAAUCUUCCUUUCCUCUGCCUCUUCAAAAGCCGUCCU